rnacentral:lncRNA from 1 species
UAGAUAGAUAGACUAUCUUCUCUACCUUCUUACAUUUUUCUACUUUCUACUUUCACUCUUUCCAACUCUUUUGUAAAGAAAAGCUAUUAAAAAGUCAUUUUGACUUUUAGCAAUACUACUUUAAAUCAGCAGCUAUCAUGUUAUUUAUAAUUUUCAUAUAUUUUAGUCAAACCAUUAAAAUUUAAUUCCUACAGUGAGGACACAUAGGCUAGUCACAAACAUAUACAUACAUACAUACAUAUAUAGAAAGAAAGAAAGAAAGAAAGAAAGAAAGAAAGAAAGAAAGAAAGAAAGAAAGAAAGAAAGGAAGGAAGGAAGGAGAGAAAA